ACAAUACAUGAAUUUUUUUAAUUUUUAAAAAAGGAAAGAGAAGCCAGGAGAUGCAGACCCCACCCAAGGCAAAGAGAAGGUUUUGAGUCCACCCAGUGGCACUGGCGCCAUGGUACUGGAGGUGACAGGGAGAGUAAGAAAAGGCAAAACUCAUCACGUGACAAAGAUCAUUCCAUUUAUUUAGAAUUUUUGCCUAGAUUCAGAUUAUCUCAAACUAUCUAUUACCUGUCUUUAAAAAAAAAAAAAGAAUUUUUGCCACUCUCUAGUUUUCCAAGGUCAUCCUCAAAUGUUUGUUUUAGCUGUCUGAUCUCUUUUUCUGUCCUUCUCUAGAUGUGGAAACAAGCAGGAAAAUGGUUAAAUUUAAGCCAUGGGAAAAGAAAGUGAUACUUUUAAUGUGAGUCAUCAGCUACUUGGCAUUUUGAUGCCUCAGUCUUAGAAUCUGACCACAUUUUUCCUGGAAGCUAGUUUCUGUUUAGUUCAUAGACAAUGCAUCCAUAGACUGUGAACUCUCAAUAAUUACAUUCAGAGGAUGGGCUCUGAGACUCAUCCAAGAAGGAGAGGGUCACAUUGUCUUCAGAGUUUAAAUUCUCACCUCAGCUAUUUAUUUGCUCUGAAUAAAGUCUGUAGGAUUAGAAAGGAAACCACUCACUCUCUCCCAAAGAAGCUUUUUCUGCUACAGCGAUAUGUCUGAGCCCUUGUCUUGAAUUUUAAUGGUUAUUAAUCUCUCUAUGAUUGUCUGUGUUGGUCCCAAUCCUCUCCAUGGGGAAAAGAAAGUUUAAAAACGUUAAGCAGUGAUAAAGCUACCACUAGAACAGGUGUGUGUGAGCAAAUUAUAACCCUCGGUCCAAAUCUGCCCUCUUGCCUCUUUUUAGCAGGUUUUAUUGGAACACAGAUAUGCUUGUCUGUUUACAUACCGACUGUGGCUGCUUCCACACUAUAAUGACAGGACUGAGCAGUUAUAACAGAAAUCAUAUGGCCUUUGAAAGCAAAAAUAGUUACUCUCUAGCCUUUUAUAGAAAAAAAUUUGUUAACUCCUGACUGCAGCAUUUCAUCUUCCACUAUUUCUUGCUGUUCAGUCGCUAAGUCAUGUUCAACUCUUUGUACCCCAUGGAUGCCAGGCUUCCCUGUCUUUCACUAUCUCCCAAAGUUUGCUAAAAUUCAUGUCCAUUGAGUUAAUGAUGCCAUCCAACCAUCUCAUCCUCUGCCGCCCCCUUCUCCUCCUGCCCUCCUCCUAGCUGAAGCAUAGAUGCAAUAUAAAUAUUUGAAGACUCCUCGGAGUUGCCCAGACCAUGGUCAACUUGGUGAUUCUCUUGCUUCCUUUUGACCAUUUUGAACAGGGGACAGGGCUUCCAGAAAUCUACAGAUCUUAGGUGGAGUAAGUUCCAAACAUCACACAAGCUCUUCAAAGAGUUUCAACUGUUCCUUAGCCAGCUUGAAGCAACGCACUGUUAUUACGAGGGAGAAUUUUGACUCAGUGCAGCAGAGCAAAAGGUAUUAGUCACAUCCGCACCAGAGGUAUUUAUAACAUUGCUACUGUUGUGGUUGUUCAGUCACUCAAAAAAUUCCAACUCUUAACAUCUCUAAUUAUACUUGGUGGUGUCAGACUUUCUCACUCAUUGAACAUCUUCCAGGAACAACUCCCUUGAUGACCACAAUCUGAAAUCUUCCCACAAAGUAAAAAGAGUAAUAUUCUUAAAAGUAACAUUCUUCUUUUAUAUAAAACAUCAAUAUUGUGAGCUCUCUAUUUUAUAGAACAGAUAUAAGGCUAGAGUAUGAGAUAAAUAAAUUUUGGGAAAUACUUUUACAUUCCAACUGACAGAAUUCUCUAAGGUUUUUAGUUCCAUUCAUCUAAAAUUUUAAUACCAAGACUUCACUCAAGAUAGACACUGCUGUGUCUGACUUUUUCUUAUGUUCUCAUGUCUGGUUUUUACUUGUUUCUAAAGGCUAUUUCAGACCAACAUGAACGUGUGAGACAGCCCGUAGUUUGUAAUUUCUGUACUCAUUAUACGUUGUAUCAAACAUAUUGUCAGGCUUAAAUAUUCAGAGUGGCUUAAAAGUCUAGGAAACUUAUUUUAAAAUAAUUUACAAACACUAGGUUUACAGAACCUUCAAUUUCAUGUGUCUUGCAUAUCUAAAUUUAGCAAACAAUAAAAGAGCAGUUCUCACUGGUUUCCAAAGAUGAUCCAGUGCAGAGUUGGCUAUCUUUCCAAGGUGAUAUGCCAAAUCCUAAUAUUUUCACUUCUUGCCUUAGGAGAGUUUGUUAUUAGAGUUUGCAGAGGAUUUUUUUGUUAAGAACUUCUUAAGACUGGUGCAAAGCACUAAUGUUGGAUGUGGCAGAAACGGUUUAGUGUUGAUCUGUAAAGUCCUUCUACAUAUAUUAUCUCGUUCAUUCUGGAGGAAAGAGUAUUGUUAUUACCCCUUUUCCACAGAUGUGGGAUGUGAGUUCCAAGAGUCUAAGUUACGGGUCAUGCAGCUGGAAGGAUAUAGUUAGAGUUCAAAUCCAUGCCUUCAAGCUCCAAGAUCAGAUC
ensembl:lncRNA